rnacentral:piRNA from 1 species
CCCCACAGCAAGAAGUACAAGCCAUUUG